rnacentral:misc_RNA from 1 species
AAGUCGUAACAAGGUUUCCGUAGGUGAACCUGCGGAAGGAUCAUUAUUGAGUGAGGGUCCUGUGCCCAACCUCUCCACCCGUGAUUACCGAACCGUGUUGCUUCGGCGGGCCCGCCAUUGAGGCCGCCGGGGAGGGGGAUUCUUCCUGCUCCCGGGCCCGUGCCCGCCGGAGGCGAUUCAACUACUGCCGUGAGAUUGCUGUCUGAGUGUGGGAUGAAAUCGUUUAAAACUUUCAACAAUGGAUCUCUUGGUUCCG